rnacentral:rRNA from 1 species
UGGGGAAUAUUGCGCAAUGGGGGAAACCCUGACGCAGCGAUGCCGCGUGAAGGAUGAAGGUUUUCGAAUCGUAAACUUCUUGGAUUGGGGAAGAAGAAGUGGCGGUACCCAAAGAACAAGUCACGGCUAACUACGUGCCGGCAGCCGCGGUAACACGUAGGUGGCGAGCGUUGUCCGGAAUUACUGGGUGUAAAGGGCGUGUAGGCGGGGAUGCAAGUCAGAUGUGAAAGCCCAUGGCUCAACUGUGGGAUUGCAUCUGAAACUGCAUCUCUUGAGUACUGGAGAGGGAAGUGGAAUUCCUAGUGUAGCGGUGAAAUGCGUAGAGAUUAGGAGGAACACCAGUGGCGAAGGCGGCUUCCUGGACAGUAACUGACGCUGAGGCGCGAAAGCGUGGGGAGCGAACAGGAUUAGAUACCCUGGUAGUCCACGCCGUAAACGUUGGAUACUAGGUGUAGGAGGUAUCGACCCCUUCUGUGCCGGAGUAAACACAAUAAGUAUCCCACCUGGGGAUUACGACCGCAAGGUUG